rnacentral:tRNA from 1 species
UGAAGUGCCUUUAAAUGGAAGAAAACUGGCCUGGGAGCCAGAGGACCUGGGUUCUAAUCCCAGCUCUACCA